AUUUCCUUUGUGGUUCUCUUCCCUCUUCUCUUCCCUUCAAUUCAUCGAUGAGGCUGGUACCGGAAGCCUGGCCCUGAGUAUUCAUUCAGACUCAGGGGAGGAAGUUCCCUUCUUCUCCUUCAGAGAAUGUGGUCAUGAUCAUUUCUCCCUGCGAAGACUUGGAAAGGCUGCAGCUGUUUUGGAAAUAUGGACUUACACUUGGCUGAUAGGCUGUGUCUGGGAGAGUGCAAAGAUGAAAAAACACCUAGCACAUGGAUCGUGUCACUGAGCUACUGAAUCAAUCAUGGAACCACGCUCCGUCUGUACUUUGUGUUCUCUCAUAGAAAAAAUGUUCACUUUGGGUUGUGCAUCCAUUACUUGAAGCUAAAAAUCUCCCCAUGUAGGCAAUGAUCACUACAAUGGGUUAUUUAUGUUUCUGAGUAAUGUACUCAUUUAAUGUAAAAAAGAUAGAGCAAAGUCCUCAAUCAUAUUUAUCAAUUACCAAGGGUCUGACUAAAUCUACUUGAGGUUCCAGGGAAAUAACGUGGGAACCAAGAUAUUUAAUUGUCCAUCUGCCAUUUGAGGAUUUUUCUUUUUCCCCACAUAAGGAAUCAAUUUGUGUAGCCAUGAUGGUGACUUCAACUGAUGCCUCUAUUCAGCACUGGCUGUCCUGUUUAAAUGAUAUACUGAAAUGGACAAAUGGGCAGAAGCUUCUUCACAAAGAGCAAAUGUAUCUCUGGUUUGCGUGGUAACUUUCAUGCCUGUAGUAGAAUAAACUUCAGUAUAUCCUUUUUAUAAAAUUGCUCUGAAAAUGGAAGACAUCUUAAAAUGUUGGCAUGCAUUCAAUAAAGUGGUGUUCUCUCCAAAUUUAAUAUAAAAUUAAUGUUUUAAAAUUGACAACAUCUUUGAAUCUACAAAAUACAUGUGCCCCACUCCAGACCUACUGCCACAUUGACUCUAUACCUACGAAUCUAACAAAUAGUGAGCUUGUUUGGAUUUUGCCAAAAGCAAAUAUUUAAACAUGAGAACAGUUGAUAUUCCCAAUUGCUGCUUCAUAUAAAACUAAGCUAGCAUUAAUUUUAUCUGCCCGUCUUGUUCUUUGUACACCGUUCUGGCUCUGUAGGAAUACUAGACUUUGCAUGAGAAAACUAAGGAUUCAAUCGAAGAUGGUUUAUUAAGUUGGUGAUUUAUUUAAGUACAUUUAUUGUCAUUGUUUUGCAACACAUAAUACAAUUUCCAUAAUAACCAGGAAUUGUUUUCUUCUAUUUUAUAUUGUUUUCUGAAUUUCCUCUAUGAAGGAAUCAUUUAACCUUCCAAUUUAGGCACUAUAUUUUUUACCUCAUUAUGCAACAGAAAUGUUUUGAAAGUUGUAGUCUGAAACCCAGAAUUCAGUCUUAGCUCCACAACUUAGUAGUUACUUAGCUCUUCCAAUCUCUGCAUUUGCAUAUGUUUAGGGAUAACCGUAAUUAAGAUACCUUAAGCGGUAAGAUUUGGAGAUUAAAUGACAAAAUCGGAAAAGUCUUUGUUUGUGUUUAAGUUCUGUAUACAGAUGCUCCUAGGUUUUGUUACAAUUGUAAUAAAAAUAACAAAUAAAAUCAAUGUGGUGAUAAUAGUGUCUUAUGUAUAGUAA
rnacentral:lncRNA from 1 species